rnacentral:rRNA from 1 species
CUACGAGCCGCAGCAGUGGGGAAUAUUGCACAAUGGGCGCAAGCCUGAUGCAGCCAUGCCGCGUGUAUGAAGAAGGCCUUCGGGUUGUAAAGUACUUUCAGCGGGGAGGAAGGGAGUAAAGUUAAUACCUUUGCUCAUUGACGUUACCCGCAGAAGAAGCACCGGCUAACUCCGUGCCAGCAGCCGCGGUAAUACGGAGGGUGCAAGCGUUAAUCGGAAUUACUGGGCGUAAAGCGCACGCAGGCGGUUUGUUAAGUCAGCUGUGAAAUCCCCGGGCUCAACCUGGGAACUGCAUCUGAUACUGGCAAGCUUGAGUCUCGUAGAGGGGGGUAGAAUUCCAGGUGUAGCGGUGAAAUGCGUAGAGAUCUGGAGGAAUACCGGUGGCGAAGGCGGCCCCCUGGACGAAGACUGACGCUCAGGUGCGAAAGCGUGGGGAGCAAACAGGAUUAGAUACCCCCGUAGUC